rnacentral:lncRNA from 1 species
GUACCACUUGAUCUCCAGGGAAAGAAGGGGUGAUCUUUGUUUGCCCACAUCCUCUUUUCCAGGGAUGCCUAGUGCUUUGUUGAGGGGAUUCAGCAGGAAUAUCUCCUCCAAAAGCUUCUGGAAACUCCCCAUGUGCCCAAUGUCAGCUCUUCCCGCUUUGAGCCGUCCAUUCUGGUUGCUUCUGACAUGUCCAUGUAUAGUCACAGAAUGUUAGAACUGGGUGUGAUCAUGAAGGGUUGGAUCAAACACUCCAAUUAACCAUGUGAGACAAACACCCCUUCAGCCUAUCACAUUUCCUGCUGGUCUUGUUCUCCAACCUGGUGUAAUUUUUCUACUUUGUACCAACCUGCUUUCCUCGAGUGACUUAGGUAUUCUUGUCAAUGCCAUCUACUUCAAAGGAAAGUGGAAUGAACCGUUUGACGAAACAUACACAAGGGAAAUGCCCUUUAAAAUAAACCAGGUGGGGGAAGCUCAGGCUUGAGCCACCGCGCCCGGCUAUAUUUUAUCUUUUAUCUUUUUCUUUGACAUUUACCAAUCACCAAGCAUGCACCAAACACUGCUUUAGGCACUGGGGACACAAAGGGGACAGAGCCAUCCUCCUUUGACACCUGGUCUUCAGUUCUGUGCCCAACGUAUAUAGUUUUGACAAUGACCAGGUUGGACUGUUUAAUUUAGAGGAGGAAUGAAAACAAAGUGAAGUACACUUAGAAAAGGGCCAAGUGGACAUCUUGGAUGUCAAGUGCCUAGUUCAGUAUCUUUUUUUUUUUUUUUUUUUUUUUUGAGACAGUGCCUCACUCUGUCACCCAGGCUGGAGUGUAGUGGCAUGAUCUGGGCUCACUGCAACCUCCUCCUCCUGGAUUCAAGCAAUUCUCUUGCUUCAGCCUCCCAAGUAGCUGAGACUACAAGCACCCACCAUCACACCCAGCUAAUUUUGUAUUUUUCAGUAGAGACGGGGUUUCGCCACAUUGGCCGUGUUGGUCUUGAACUCCUGGCCUCAAGCGAUCCGCCUACCUCCGUAACGGUAUAUGCAAAUAAGAAAGAGGACAUCCUUCUAACUGACACACCCCUAGUGUCUGUUUUUUGUUUAUUGUUUUGUCUUUGUCUUUUUUGCAUUACCCAGGCAGGAGACAACUUUCUGUGGUUGCUGGUGCCAUGCCUUUUGUACAGCCCGCAGAACUGUGAGUCAAAUAAACCUCUUCUCUUUGUGAAUUACCCAGCCUCAUGUAUGUGGUUUUUCAGUUGCAUUAAACUGAAAGGCAAGACAAUCCGUGCUGUUACCCAAGCUGGACAAUGAGACACCUUCUUCCCCCGUCACUCUGUCAUGCAAAUUUAAAUAGCACCUUUUGAUACUGCCUACAGGUUGCCUAUAGCAAUCACUCAGUUGAUUCCAACACAUGUAUUCUCACUUGUCUUCCUUCCUCUUCUAGAUUCUGGAUAUUAGUCCCUUGUCAGAUGUAUGGAUUGUGAAGAUUUUCUCCCACUCUGUGUGUUGUCUGUUUACUCUGUUGACUGUUCCUUUUGCUGUGCAAAAGCUCUUUUUUGACCCAAUAUUCAUUCAGGAGCAGGUUAUUUAAUUUCCAUGUAUUUGCAUGGUUUUGAAGGUUCCUUUUGGAGUCGAUUUCCAGUUUUAUUCCACUGUGGUGUGAGAGAGUGCUUGAUAUAAUUUCAACGAUUGGGUUAACUUGAAGACCUUGUCUUUGAGCUCUGAAUUUCUUUCCUCUACUUGUUCAGUUCUAUUGGUGAGACUUUCCAGAGCAUUUCGCAUUUCUAAAAGUGUGUCUCCCUGAUUUAACUUAAUAACUGACCUCCUCAAUUCUUUUUCAGGUAAAUCAGGUAUUUCUUCUUGGUUUGGAUGCAUUGGUGGUGAACUAGUGUGAUUCUGGGGGGGCACGGGGUCUUGAUGAGCUUUGUUUUGUCAUAUUGCCUUCCUGUGGAUGUGGCUUCUUGUGAGCUGAACUACAGUGAUUGUUGUCUCUCUUCUGGGUCUAGCCACCCAGCGAGUCUAACUGGCUCCGGGCUGGUACUGGGGUUGUCUGUACAGAUUCCUGUGAUGUUAACCUAUGGGUUAAUCUACAGACUCUCCUGGGGCAGGUCUUGCUGUGGCUGCUGUGGGGAAUGGGGGUGAGAUUCCCAGGUCACUGGAAUUGCGUAAAUAGUAGGAUUAUGGUUCCCUCUGCUGAGUCAUGCAGGGGUCAGGGAAGUGCGGGAAAGCUGGCACUCACAGGCCUCACCCAGCUCCCAUGCAAACUGAAGGGCUGGUCUCACUCCCACUGUGCCCUCCACAAUAGCCCUGCAUCUGUUUCCA